UACGGAGGGGGCAAGCGUUGUCCGGAAUCAUUGGGCGUAAAGCGCGUGUAGGCGGCCCGGUAAGUCCGCUGUGAAAGUCGGGGGCUCAACCCUCGAAUGCCGGUGGAUACUGUCGGGCUAGAGUGCGGAAGAGGCGAGUGGAAUUCCUGGUGUAGCGGUGAAAUGCGCAGAUAUCAGGAGGAACACCAAUGGCGAAGGCAGCUCACUGGGACGGUAUUGACGCUGAGACGCGAAAGCGUGGGGAGCAAACAGG
rnacentral:rRNA from 1 species